rnacentral:rRNA from 1 species
UGGUGGAGUGAUUUGUCUGGCUAAUUCCGUUAACGAACGAGACCUCAGCCUGCUAACUAGUUACACGAAGGAUCCUCUUCGUGGCCAACUUCUUAGAGGGACUAUGGCCGUCUAGGCCAUGGAAGUUUGAGGCAAUAACA